rnacentral:rRNA from 1 species
GAUGAACGCUGGCGGCGUGCCUAAUACAUGCAAGUCGAGCGAACGGACGAGAAGCUUGCUUCUCUGAUGUUAGCGGCGGACGGGUGAGUAACACGUGGAUAACCUACCUAUAAGACUGGGAUAACUUCGGGAAACCGGAGCUAAUACCGGAUAAUAUUUUGAACAGCAUGGUUCAAAAGUGAAAGACGGUCUUUCUGUCACUUAUAGAUGGAUCCGCGCUGCAUUAGCUAGUUGGUAAGGUAACGGCUUACCAAGGCAACGAUGCAUAGCCGACCUGAGAGGGUGAUCGGCCACACUGGAACUGAGACACGGUCCAGACUCCUACGGGAGGCAGCAGUAGGGAAUCUUCCGCAAUGGACGAAAGCCUGACGGAGCAACGCCGCGUGAGUGAUGAAGGUCUUCGGAUCGUAAAACUCUGUUAUUAGGGAAGAACAUAUGUGUAAGUAACUGUGCACAUCUUGACGGUACCUAAUCAGAAAGCCACGGCUAACUACGUG